GUGAAUCUCUCUGCUGGUCUUGGGGUCUCGGUCCAGUCAGAUUCAGGCAGCGGGCCUCUCGACCGGCCCCCCUCACAGAGGACAGCAUUUGCCUAUACUGCCUAUGCCCAAGGCCAGCUUAGCUCCUGUGAAUGGAGAGAGACAGUAAAUCCAGGGGGAGAGCGGGGGGAUGAUGGCCCAGUAUGGAUUCAAACCCCGGGUCUUUGUGGUAAGGACACAGCCUCAGUACGGGAUACAUUCUCUACCAGGAUUGUGAUGCUGAUGAGACCUGGGCACAAGUAUCUGUUUGGGUGCUGACUGUUGUCCAUGAAGAUGUGCAACUCACUCCAAAUCAGCUCUGUCUUCACCCAUUGUCUACUGCCAUCUUUGUUGAGGGAGGUAUUGUAAUAGAUAAUUUCCAGAACCUACCCGAGGCCCUACUUUGCCUCUUGUUUGGACUGUCAUAUGCUUUACAUUUGGACUACCCUAAAGCCCUAAAUGAAAAACACUUUCGGCUUCAUUCAAAGACAGAUGCUUGGCUUGGGAGAGAACAAACUCCCACCAAAACUGCAAAGUCUUAAAAAUCCCUUAUUGAGUUUGAAUGCAAAUGUACAAGUGGUGACAUUUGGCAAAUCUCACUUGUUCAUGAGUGGAUUCAGUUGUUUUUUUAUGUUCACUCCACUCCACUCAAGUUGUCAGCCCAUGGGUUCAUCAGCAAGUUACUAGGGGCUAUAGAUGUAUGUAUAUUCAUUCACACAUACAUGAGAUCCACUGCCAGUCAUUACCCUCUCAGGUUUUUGCGCAUAUUGAAUGUCGCUUUGCACUUGUCGGCAAGUUGAAAAGGAAGAA